AUGAACCCAUCUACUUCAAUUGAAGUGGAACAAAACUUAUGUGUGAUAUAUCUGUCUUAUGUUUUAAAGUCAUUAUGUUGCAGGGAGCUGCUUCAUUAUGAGCUUGUUUACAAUUAUUCAGGAUCCAAGCAUGUAAUUUUCCACCUAUUAACUAAUAUGUUUUGUGGCCUGUUGCUUAUUUUUCUCGUGCUGCAAAUAUGUAACUCUUAGCUUUGAACGUGACUAGAUCACAGAAUCGUUGAAAAGAUGUGGCAUCUCUGAAAGCUCAACUUAUGUGCUUGCCACUUAUUUUAAUUCUUCUUCUGAUGAGGUAAGAUCAUUUUGAAAGUUGUAGUAGAUCAAGCAUUGCAUUGCUUCAGGAUAUCAGAAAAUGUUAGCCAUUUUGACUUUAAUAAUUUUUGUUGAAUACUAGAUUGAACAAAAAGCAGUAGAGAAACUAU
rnacentral:lncRNA from 1 species